GACGAACGCUGGCGGCGUGCUUAACACAUGCAAGUCGAACGGAAAGGCCCUGCUUUUGUGGGGUGCUCGAGUGGCGAACGGGUGAGUAACACGUGAGUAACCUGCCCUUGACUUUGGGAUAACUUCAGGAAACUGGGGCUAAUACCGGAUAGGAGCUCCUGCUGCAUGGUGGGGGUUGGAAAUUUUCGGCGGUUGGGGGUGGACUCGCGGCUUAUCAGCUUGUUGGUGGGGUAGUGGCUUACCAAGGCUUUGACGGGUAGCCGGCCUGAGAGGGUGACCGGCCACAUUGGGACUGAGAUACGGCCCAGACUCCUACGGGAGGCAGCAGUGGGGAAUAUUGCACAAUGGGCGGAAGCCUGAUGCAGCAACGCCGCGUGCGGGAUGACGGCCUUCGGGUUGUAAACCGCUUUCGCCUGUGACGAGGCGUGAGUGACGGUAAUGGGUAAAGAAGCACCGGCUAACUACGUG
rnacentral:rRNA from 1 species